rnacentral:rRNA from 1 species
GCAUAUCAAUAAGCGGAGGAAAAGAAACCAACAGGGAUUGCCCUAGUAACGGCGAGUGAAGCGGCAACAGCUCAAAUUUGAAAUCUGGCUCUCUUUGGGGGUCCGAGUUGUAAUUUGCAGAGGAUGCUUUGGCAUUGGCGGCGUUCUAAGUUCCUUGGAACAGGACAUCACAGAGGGUGAGAAUCCCGUACGUGGUCGCCUGCCUUUGCCGUGUAAAGCUCCUUCGACGAGUCGAGUUGUUUGGGAAUGCAGCUCUAAAUGGGAGGUAAAUUUCUUCUAAAGCUAAAUACCGGCCAGAGACCGAUAGCGCACAAGUAGAGUGAUCGAAAGAUGAAAAGUACUUUGGAAAGAGAGUCAAAAAGCACGUGAAAUUGUUGAAAGGGAAGCGCUUGCAGCCAGACUUGCCCGCAGUUGCUCACCUAGGCUUUGGCCUGGGGCACUCUUCUGCGGGCAGGCCAGCAUCAGUUUGGGCGGUUGGAUAAAGGCCUCUGUCACGUAUCUCCCUCCGGGGUGACCUUAUAGGGGAGGCGUAAUGCAACCAGCCCGGACUGAGGUCCGCGCAUCUGCUAGGAUGCUGGCGUAAUGGCUGUAAGCGGCCCGUCUUGAAACACGGACCAAGGAGUCUAACAUCUAUGCGAGUGUUUGGGUGUCAAGCCCGGGCGCGCAAUGAAAGUGAACGGAGGUGGGAACCCUUUGGGUGCACCAUCGACCGAUCCUGAUGUCUUCGGAUGGAUUUGAGUAAGAGCAUAGCUGUUGGGACCCGAAAGAUGGUGAACUAUGCUUGAAUAGGGUGAAGCCAGAGGAAACUCUGGUGGAGGCUCGCAGCGGUUCUGACGUGCAAAUCGAUCGUCAAAUUUGGGCAUAGGGGCGAAAGACUAAUCGAACCAUCUAGUAGCUGGU